AUGCAGGAGGCCCGCUGCCAGCUUUAUAGAAGAAAGACCACAGAGCCACACAGCUCCAGGGACACUGCAAAGGGCCUGACAGGUGGCAGGCAGAACAAGAGCCAUUUCACCAGCAGGAAGGGCCCCAACAUGCAGUCUGGACUGCCUGCUCUCUUGUGCACAGUGGUGGCCUUCAUCCUCUUCGGUUCCAGCAAUACACAGAGUGUCACUCAAACUCCAGAAAGCCAGCCUCCUGCCACACCAUCCGUUUUCAUCAUGCGAAAUGGGACGACGGUUGCUUGUCUGGUGAAGGAUUUCUAUCCUAAGGAUAUAGACAUAAAACUCGAAUCAACCAAAAAACUAGAAGAAUUUGACCCUGCUAUUGUCGUCUCCCCCAGUGGGAAGUACAGUGCUGUCAAGCUUGGUCGGUAUGAAGAUCCAAAUUCGGUGACCUGUUCGGUUGAACACAACAGUAAAGUUGUGAGCUCCACUAAAUUUGAACCAAGGACAAAUUCUUCAGGUACUGUAAAACCAAAACCAACGGAAACUGAAAACAUAAAGCUAACUCCAAAGAGCAUCAGUGAGCCCAAAGCCACAGUUCAUCACAGUUCACAGUUCACAGCCGGGAAUGUAAACAUGCUGUCCCUCACAGUGCUGGGGCUCCGGAUGGUGUUUGCCAAGAGUCUUGCCAUCAAUUUUCUCUUGACUGCCAAGUUAUUUUUCUUUUAAGGCUGACUGGCUUCAGAAGGCUGCCUUAUGAAACUCCCACAUUAUGUCUUCACAAAAGCCUACAGAGGAGCUGUCUCUUAGACUUCUGGCUUCUCGGUGAUUCAAGGUGACCGAUCCCAGUCUUGCUUAAGUGGCUGCUACCCAAACCAUCAAAGCAACAAACCCAGCUCAUUUUCCAGCUUUGUGGAAAGACACAAGUCCUAGGGAGUAGGGUGUUAUGGUCCUAACUGGUCUAUCUGUUGCUUUAUAAAGGGAUAUAGGACUCAUUUUUUUUUAUUAUUAUUUCUACAACAGAUACACUUUGAAAAUAGUGUUUUGUUCCCUUAACUUUCUUUGCCUUCAAAAGUAGAAAGUGGGAGCCAACAGAUUCCCAGCUCCAUACUCCCAGAGGAAAACGGACCCUGGGGGUUGGAGAGAAGAUGCCCUUCACCUAAGAGGAAUGGCUCUUUUCAGCCCAGCACUAGGUUUGCCUCAAGCUGGCAUUCUCAUCCACAAAAGCACUUUCUGCUUUCCUUAGUACUUUACAAACAAAAUUAAAUUUGACUUCUCAUGCAGCCAAUGGGGUUUCUAAAGCGUCAUCUAAAUACUCUCCAAGCUAUUAGCAAAGAUCAGGGUAAAAUACAGAGAAAAUUACUUUUAUCAAUUGACUUCACAAACAUGAAUUGACUCCUUCUAAGUUCCAGGCACCGAGCUGAGGGUGUAAAGAUGAAUGAGAGGUGGGCCUGCUUUCAAGCGACUUACUGUGCAAGCACUUUUAGAGGGAGGGAGAGGAAUGAGACUCCUGGAUUUGGGCUGUAAAAAGAGUAUCUUUACUGGGUUUUGCCUGCCAAUAUAUGCACAGGGAAUUUGAUUUCAGUGGAUGCUGACUCUUGCUUGCCCCUUGUUGUUGAUGGUAUUCUGCCAUUCUCAGUGUUGUCUCUGUUGCAUUUAUUAAAGUGCAUCGAGUGUG